GGCAUGCUGCGCGGGGCGGCGGCGGCGGCCGCCAGGCGGUGCGGGCUCGGUCCCGGUCCCGGUGCCGGCCGGGCACAGGCGGGGGCGCGGCGGUGCUCGGGCGCUGCGCGGCGGCGGCGACAGUGGGUGCCUCCGGCGGGGCGCGACAGCGGGAUCGUGGCUUACAACAGCCGGAGCCAGAGCAAGGAGCCGCUCGUGCUGGCCACGGAAGGAGUGGCGACCUGGUACAGCUGCGGGCCAACCGUGUAUGACCAUGCACACCUCGGGCACGCCUGCUCCUAUGUUAGGUUUGAUAUAAUUCGAAGGAUAAUGACAAGGUUUUUUGGAAUUGAAGUUAUCAUGGUGAUGGGGAUCACAGACAUAGAUGACAAGAUAAUAAAAAGAGCCAAUGAGAUGAAUAUAUCGCCAGUAGCUCUUGCUCGUAUUUAUGAAGAAGAUUUUAAACAAGAUAUGGCUGCUUUAAAGGUUCUUCCUCCUACGGCAUAUAUGAGGGUGACUGACAAUAUUCCUCAAAUAAUUUCCUUUAUAAAAACAAUAAUUUCCAGUGGACAAGCUUAUGCAACCUCGCAAGGCAAUGUUUAUUUUGAUGUUAAGUCCUGGGGAAAAAGAUAUGGAGUGUUAACUGCUAUUAACCCUGAUACCCAAGAUGAAGAGGUUGAUUCUGAUAAACGACACCGUAAAGAUUUUGCCCUGUGGAAGGCUGCCAAGCCUGAAGAGCUAUCUUGGAAUUCUCCCUGGGGAAAAGGACGGCCUGGAUGGCACAUUGAAUGUUCCACAAUAUCAAGUGCAGUGUUUGGAAAGCAGCUGGACAUCCAUACCGGUGGAAUAGAUCUUGCAUUUCCUCAUCAUGAAAAUGAAAUUGCACAGUGUGAGGUGUAUCAUCAGUGUGAGCAAUGGGGGAAUUACUUUCUGCAUUCUGGGCAUUUGCAUGUUAAAGGAAGUCAAGAAAAAAUGUCAAAGUCAUUAAAAAACUACAUAACGAUUAAGGAUUUCCUGAAGAAAUGUUCAUCAGAUCAAUUCAGAAUGUUUUGUUUGCGUGGCAGAUACAGCUCAGGGUGCAGGCAAGGCCAGAGGAGUCUGCUGAACUCCUGCCAGCAGGAGUGGACUCUGGAAGCUCCCAAAGUGGAAUUGCCUGCCAAAGUAGAAUUUAGUGAGGAGAGCAUGGAAGAUGCAAAGAACCUUCUUCAGGCAAUCUCCUCAUUUAUUAGAGAUGCAAAUGCUUAUAUAAAAGGACAGCUGGUGUGUGACCCUGUUAGAGAAGACAUAUUGUGGGAAAGGCUAGCCAACACAAAAGUAACUGUGAAGGCUGCGUUUGCAGAUGACUUUGACACCUCCAGGGCUGUUGCAGCAAUUAUGGACCUCAUUCACCAUGGCAACAGACAGCUUAAGGCUGUUACUAAGGAUGCUGGAUCUCCUAGAAGCUCUGUUGUGUAUGGAAGCAUUACUUCCUAUAUUGAAGGCUUUUUCAGUGCCCUUGGGAUGUCCUUUGAAGAAAGACAGGUGGCUGUGGGAGGAGACAAGUCUGCCUUGCUCUCCAACGUCAUUGAAGAGCUGGUGAGGUUCCGCUCGAAGGUGCGGCAUUACGCGCUGGCUCUGCCGGAAGCAGCAGAUGCUGCACCGCUGGAGGGUGCAGCGGGAGCCCAGGAAUCCAAACAGGAGCAGAAGGAAAAGAGGAAGCAGUUAAUGCAGGAGAGAAAGCCCCUCCUGGAGGCUUGUGACAGUCUGCGUGGAGACCUUGCUGCCUUUGGAAUUCACAUAAAGGGCAUCUCUGGCUCAAGAGAAGACCCUCUAUGGCAUUACUGCCUUCUCCUGGUUCCAAGGACCUGCAUUACUUCCUUAAAGUGCUGCUUCUUCCAGUUCCUCCUGGCCAUUGCCCUUCUGUGAGGCGAGGGUCAGUGUUGCUCCUUGAGUGCAGAAUAAUCCUCUGCAUUCUCUCCCUCCAUCCAGUUUAUACUGUCCAUUUUUCCUUUCCUUGGGAACUGAUCCUGGCAAGUCUGGUUCCAUCGUUUCACCAGUGGGAAGAUGGAAAACACAAUGACAUCAGGGAGUGACAGCACACACAGGUCCAGCUGUGUGAGGGCUGUCACUUGUCACUGCUGCUGUUGGAGCACAGCGUGUUUGGCGCUCUCCUCUCUUGGAUGACAGCGAGCCUGCUGGCAAAAACUGGGGACAGAGCUGCUGUUUCUACCUGGGAAAUUGUGGAAGGAGGGCAGACAGAGAAGCAGACUGAGAAAAAAAGCUGAUCCUUCAUCCUUGGACUUGUUUUUUAUUUCAGCUACUUCAGCAACUCUUGUAAAUACUAAUUCUUUCAAAAUAAAAUCUGUCGAACAGAA